rnacentral:lncRNA from 1 species
AAAAACUCCUCAUCUGAACCCAACUUGUUGCAUUUUAUCCAGGUUUGUUGUCUAUGCCGUGCUGCAAUCAAAUAGUUCCAUAGGGGUGAAGACAAUUACUCCACAUUUCUGGUGGCAUGUUUGUUGAGUUCUUAGCAUAUUUUGACUAUUCGUUAUUAUAUUGGGGAGAACAGAUGUCAGGUCAAAGUCAGAAAGCUAUUCAAACUACAAGAAAGUUCAAUGAAGGUUUCUUCUGCACAUGAGACUGAGACUACCCCUUGGAUGAUCAAAGCCAAACUCCUCUUCCAGCCUGAUUUAUCAAUUCUUAAAAUGAAGGGUGCUUCAAGAAUGAAAUUGGAUGGCCUUUGGUUAUUUAUGAAGCUG